AUCUCUGUGCAAUUCUGUUCAUGGGCUUGCAGUGAGCCCACAAGUUCUUCAAAUGACAUAGUCGUUACAUCUUUGAGUUCUUCAAGAGUAACAACUAUGAAAUUAAAUCUCAGAUCCAGUGAUCUCAAGAUUUUUUCAACAAUUCUCGUGUCUGUGAGAGCUUCGCCAUUUCUCCUCAUUUGAUUUACAAUAACCAAAAUUCGAGCAUAAUAUUCAGACACUGAUUCUGAAGAUUUCAUGCGUAAAGAUUCGAAUUCACCUCGUAUAGUUUGAAGGCGUAUUCGCUUUACUUUGUCCGUACCUUUGUAAGUUUUCUUCAGGGUCUCCCAAAUUUGUUUGGAAGUUUCAGCGGAUGCAAUGAUCUCAAAUGUGGUCUCAUCAAGUCCUUGGUAGAUGAUGGACCUGGCUUUGCAAUCCUUCUUGCGCUCAGCCUUGAGCGUUGUCUUCUGUUCCUCCUUUAAAUCUGCUUCUUCCUCUUUUGAGGCGGGCUCCUCAUAGCCCUAUUCAACCACCUCCAUACCAUCUUGAGAGCCAAGCAGUGCUCUCAUUUGAAUGGACCAAUUAUCAUAAUUGUCC
rnacentral:lncRNA from 1 species